rnacentral:rRNA from 1 species
GAGUUUGAUCAUGGCUCAGAACGAACGCUGGCGGCAGGCUUAACACAUGCAAGUCGAACGGUUGUAGCAAUACAGCAGUGGCGCACGGGUGAGUAAUACUUGGGAACGUGCCUUUCAGUCUGGGAUAACGUCGGGAAACUGACGCUAAUACCGGAUACUCCCUCCGGGGGGAAAGUUUUUCGCUGAAAGAUCGGCCCAAGCCAGAUUAGCUAGUUGGUGAGGUAAUGGCUCACCAAGGCUACGAUCUGUAGCUGGUCUGAGAGGACGGCCAGCCACACUGGAACUGAGACACGGUCCAGACUCCUACGGGAGGCAGCAGUGGGGAAUAUUGGACAAUGGGGGAAACCCUGAUCCAGCCAUGCCGCGUGAGUGAUGAAGGCCUUAGGGUUGUAAAGCUCUUUUGUCAGGGAAGAUGAUGACGGUACCUGAAGAAUAAGCACCGGCUAACUUCGUGCCAGCCGCCGCGGUAAC